NCCCUGGUUGAUCCUGCCAGCCGCAUAUGCUUGUCUCAAAGACUAAGCCAUGCAUGUCUAAGUGCGAACGGAAGGACCCGUUGAGACUGCGAAUGGCUCAUUAAAUCAGUUAUGGUCUCUUUGAGCGCUCGGAAGUUACUCGGAUAACUGUGGCAAUUCUAGAGCUAAUACAUGCAAACGAGCGCCGGUCCCCACGGGUGAUGGUUCCCUGACGUCGUGGGGAGGCGCGCAUUUAUCAGCACCAAAAACCGACGCGGUGCCCGCCCACCUUCCCUUCCUUUCCCCUUCGUGGGGUGAGGUCCUUCCUACCUUCGGUGGGGAGGGGGGCCCUUCCUUCGGGGGGGUCCGGGGUUCGGCGUGGGCCCGUCCACGGGAUGGUGACUCUGGAUAAACCAUGGCAGAUCGCUCGGCCUCCGCGCCGGCGACGUUUCAUUCGAAUGUCUGCCCUAUCAACUUUCGAUGGCAGGCUUCGCGCCUGCCAUGGUGGCUACGGGUGACGGGGAAUCAGGGUUCGAUUCCGGAGAGGGAGCCUGAGAAACGGCUACCACAUCCAAGGAAGGCAGCAGGCGCGCAAAUUACCCACUCCCGACACGGUGAGGUAGUGACGAAAAAUACCGAUGCAGGCCUCGGUCGAGGCGCUGCUAUCGGAAUGGGUGCACCUUAAACCCAUGUGCGAGGAUCCAUUGGAGGGCAAGUCUGGUGCCAGCAGCCGCGGUAAUUCCAGCUCCAACAGCGUAAGCGAACGCUGUUGCAGUUAAAAAGCUCGUAUUUGGAAAUCACGCCGGGGCUCGCGGGGGGGACGUGCCGCAAGGCGCGCUUCCUGUCCCCGCCCGUCCCCGGCGGCGAGACUGUCGGAGCCCUGCGGACGCUCUUGGAUGAGUGUCCGUUGCGGGCCGGAAGCGUUUACCUUGAGGAAACUGGAGUGCUCAGAGCGGGUCGGUAGAGCCUGUACACCGCAGCUGGGAAUAAUGGAAUAGGGCCUCGGUCCUAUUUUGUUGGUUUUGCGGGACGGAGGUCAUGAUUGAGAGGGACUGCCGGGGGCAUUCGUACUGCGCCGCGAGAGGUGAAAUUCUGGGACCGGCGCAAGACGGACUAAAGCGAAAGCAUUUGCCAAGAAUGUUUUCCUUAAUCAAGAACGAAGGUCGGAGGCUCGAAGGCGAUCAGAUACCGCCCUAGUUUCGACGGUAAACUAUGCCGACCGGCGAUCGGGCGGCGUCGAAUGGCAUGACCCGUCCGGCAGCCAUGAGGGAAACCAGGAGUUUCUGGGUUCCGGGGGGAGUAUGGUUGCAAAGCUGAAACUUAAAGGAAUUGACGGAAGGGCACCACCAGGAGUGGAGCCUGCGGCUCAAUUUGACUCAACACGGGAAAGCUCACCUGGGCCGGACACGAGAAGGAUUGACAGACUGAGAGCUCUUUCACGAUUCUGUGGGUGGUGGUGCAUGGCCGUUCUUAGUUGGUGGAGCGAUCCGUCUGGUUGAUUCCGAUAACGAGCGAGACUCCGACACGCUAACUAGUUCCGCGACCCCGGUGUGGCCGGCGGACUAACUUCUUAGAGGGACGAGCGGCUGCAAGCCGUGCGAGAUGGAGCAAUAACAGGUCUGUGAUGCCCUUCGAUGUCCGGGGCCGCACGCGCGCUACACUGGACGGGCCAGCGUGUACCUUGCCCUUCGCCGACAGGCUCGGGUAAACCGCUGAGCCCCGUCCGUGAUGGGGACUGGGGCUUGAGACAGUGUCCCACGAACGAGGAAUUCCCAGUAAGCGCGAGUCAUCAGCUCGCGUUGAUUAAGUCCCUGCCCUUUGUACACACCGCCCGUCGCUACUACCGAUCGGACGGUUUGGUGAGAUCCUCGGAUCAGCCCCUGCACGGGCCGUCCGUGACACUUGUUGUCGUCGUGUCGGCUCGUGCCGGUGCGCCGAAAAGAUGAGCGAACUUGACUGUCUAGAGGAAGUAAAAGUCGU
rnacentral:rRNA from 1 species